GGAGGCGUUCCCGCUGGUCAACGGCUGAGCGAUGCGCGGACUGUAAAUCCGUCGGCUUAGCCUACCCAGGUUCGAAUCCUGGCGCCGCCA
rnacentral:tRNA from 1 species